rnacentral:rRNA from 1 species
AUUGAACGCUGGCGGCAGGCCUAACACAUGCAAGUCGAGCGGAUGAAGGGAGCUUGCUCCUGGAUUCAGCGGCGGACGGGUGAGUAAUGCCUAGGAAUCUGCCUGGUAGUGGGGGAUAACGUCCGGAAACGGGCGCUAAUACCGCAUACGUCCUGAGGGAGAAAGUGGGGGAUCUUCGGACCUCACGCUAUCAGAUGAGCCUAGGUCGGAUUAGCUAGUUGGUGGGGUAAAGGCCUACCAAGGCGACGAUCCGUAACUGGUCUGGGAGGAUGAUCAGUCACACUGGAACUGAGACACGGUCCAGACUCCUACGGGAGGCAGCAGUGGGGAAUAUUGGACAAUGGGCGAAAGCCUGAUCCAGCCAUGCCGCGUGUGUGAAGAAGGUCUUCGGAUUGUAAAGCACUUUAAGUUGGGAGGAAGGGCAGUAAGUUAAUACCUUGCUGUUUUGACGUUACCAACAGAAUAAGCACCGGCUAACUUCGU